UACGAAGGGGGCUAGCGUUGUUCGGAUUUACUGGGCGUAAAGCGCACGUAGGCGGUUUGUUAAGUCAGGGGUGAAAUCCCGGAGCUCAACUCCGGAACUGCCUUUGAUACUGGCAAGCUAGAGUCCGGAAGAGGUAAGUGGAACUCCUAGUGUAGAGGUGGAAUUCGUAGAUAUUAGGAAGAACACCAGGUGGCGAAGCGGCUUACUGGUCCGGAAC
rnacentral:rRNA from 1 species